rnacentral:misc_RNA from 1 species
AUGAAUAUUAGGGUGCUCCUCUUCAUCAGAGAGACCCGACCUUCAUUUCCAACCCUGUGAACACAUAUAACCUGAGGACUUGCGCAAGCGAGGACUCAUCAUUUAAAACUCUACCAGUUUAUGAAUGUAACAAACCAUAACAAAAAA